GUAGGUGGCAAGCGUUGUCCGGAAUUAUUGGGCGUAAAGCGCGCGCAGGCGGUUCUUUAAGUCUGAUGUGAAAGCCCACGGCUCAACCGUGGAGGGUCAUUGGAAACUGGAGAACUUGAGUACAGAAGAGGAAAGCGGAAUUCCACGUGUAGCGGUGAAAUGCGUAGAGAUGUGGAGGAACACCGGUGGCGAAGGCGGCUUUCUGGUCUGUAACUGACGCUGAGGCGCGAAAGCGUGGGGAGCAAACAGGGAUUAGAUACCCUGGUAGUCCACGCCGUAAACGAUGAGUGCUAAGUGUUAGGGGGUUUCCCGCCCCCUUAGUGCUGCAGCUAACGCAUUAAGCACUCCGCCUGGGGAGUACGGCCGCAAGGCUG
rnacentral:rRNA from 1 species